rnacentral:rRNA from 1 species
UACGUAGGGCGCAAGCGUUAUCCGGAAUUAUUGGGCGUAAAGAGCUCGUAGGCGGUUUGUCGCGUCUGCCGUGAAAGUCCGGGGCUCAACUCCGGAUCUGCGGUGGGUACGGGCAGACUAGAGUGAUGUAGGGGGAGACUGGAAUUCCUGGUGUAGCGGUGAAAUGCGCAGAUAUCAGGAGGAACACCGGUGGCGAAGGCGGGUCUCUGGGCAGUAACUGACGCUGAGGAGCGAAAGCGUGGGGAGCGAACAGG